rnacentral:rRNA from 1 species
ACCUAGUAGUAUGGGAUAGCCACUAGAAAUGGUGGGUAAUACUGUAUAAUCCCUGCGGGGGAAAGAUUUAUCGCUAUUAGAUGAGCCUAUGUCAGAUUAGCUAGUUGGUGGGGUAAUGGCCUACCAAGGCGGUGAUCUGUAGCUGGUCUGAGAGGAUGAUCAGCCACACUGGAACUGAGACACGGUCCAGACUCCUACGGGAGGCAGCAGUGGGGAAUAUUGGACAAUGGGCGCAAGCCUGAUCCAGCUAUGCCGCGUGAGUGAGGAAGGCCUUAGGGUUGUAAAACUCUUUCAGUAGGGAAGAUAAUGACGGUACCUACAGAAGAAGUCCCGGCAAACUCCGUGCCAGCAGCCGCGGUAAUACGGAGGGGGCAAGCGUUGUUCGGAAUUAUUGGGCGUAAAGGGCAUGUAGGCGGUUUGGUAAGUUAAAGGUGAAAUACCAGGGCUUAACCCUGGAGCUGCUUUUAAUACUGCCGGACUAGAGUCCGGAAGAGGAUAG